rnacentral:rRNA from 1 species
CCUACGGGAGGCAGCAGUGGGGAAUUUUGGACAAUGGGCGCAAGCCUGAUCCAGCAAUGCCGCGUGAGUGAAGAAGGCCUUCGGGUUGUAAAGCUCUUUUGUCAGGGAAGAAACGGUGGGGGCUAAUAUCUCCCACUAAUGACGGUACCUGAAGAAUAAGCACCGGCUAACUACGUGCCAGCAGCCGCGGUAAUACGUAGGGUGCAAGCGUUAAUCGGAAUUACUGGGCGUAAAGCGUGCGCAGGCGGUUUUGUAAGUUUGUCGUGAAAUCCCCGGGCUCAACCUGGGAAUGGCGAUGAAGACUGCAAGGCUAGAAUCUGGCAGAGGGGGGUAGAAUUCCACGUGUAGCAGUGAAAUGCGUAGAGAUGUGGAGGAACACCGAUGGCGAAGGCAGCCCCCUGGGUCAAGAUUGACGCUCAUGCACGAAAGCGUGGGGAGCAAACAGGAUUAGAUACCCUGGUAGUCCACGCCCUAAACGAUGUCUACUAGUUGUCGGGUUUUAAUUAACUUGGUAACGCAGCUAACGCGUGAAGUAGACCGCCUGGGGAGUACGGUCGCAAGAUUAAAACUCAAAAGGAUUGACGGNNGAGAGNGCGAGAGACGACGAGGAGAG